AGCUGAUACCGUGCUGGACGAGCUCAACUACGACAAUCUUCGUCGGGAGGUGAAGUACCGAAAUCAACUCACCAAGAAGAAGGUAUGCUUCUUCUUCUCCUUCUUUAAUGCAAUUGGCUUUAGUUCCAGCUUGGCUUCAAGAUCCGGGACAUCAACACCAACUUCAAAAGGAUCAACCAGCAAGCCAAUGACUUGGGAUUGGUAACCAAGUACCAAAUUGAAGCUGCACUCCCUGCUGAUGCCGCUGGUGCCACGACAAGCAGACAGACCGACUCUAUCAUUCUUCCAAACGUUGUAGGAAGAUCCGGCGAUGAGUCAAAGAUAGUGGGGAUGCUGUUGACCCCAUCUGAAAGAGUUGUCUCAGUUAUUCCCAUUACAGGCAUGGGUGGUCUGGGCAAAACAACUCUUGCUAAAUCAGUCUACAACAAUACAAAAAUUGAUGAGAAUUUUGGCAUAAAGAGUUGGGUUUGUGUGGCUAGAAAAAUUGAUAUAGUGGAGCUGUUUAAAUUGAUUUUAAAUCGUUGACAAGAACGAAGGUUGAAGUGGAUGAUAGGGAAGCCAUAGUUCAGGAAAUUCGAGGAAAACUUGGGGAAAAAAGAUUUCUCCUUGUUCUUGAUGAUGUAUGGAAUUGUGAACCGGGAUUGUGGAGUGACUUCUUCGCCACAUUGUUGGGACUCAGUACAACUAAAGGAAGCUGGUGUAUUCUCACUACUCGUCUACAACCAGUGGCUAAUGCUGUGCUUAGGCAUUUGCAAAUGAAUGGUGGUCCUUAUUUCUUAGGAAAGCUAUCAGGUGAUGAGUGCUGGUCCAUCAUAAAAAGAAAGGUGCUCGCAAGGGAAGAGAAGUAACAAAAGAAUUGGAAGCAAUACAGGAGCAAAUUUUAAGGAGAUGCGAUGGCCUACCCUUGGCGGCAAGUUUGAUUGGUGGCUUGUUUAACAACAGAAGAGAGAAGUGGCACUCCAUUGUGCAGGAGAGUCUUUUGAAUGAAUAUCAAAGCCAAAUUAAUCAAAUACUUAAGGUGAGCUUUGAUCAUUUAUCACCUCCAUCAGUUAAGAAAUGUUUUGCAUAUUGCUCGAUUUUUCCCCAGGACACUGAAUUGGGAGAAGAUGAACUAAUUGAGCACUGGGUUGCUGAAGGUUUUGUUCUACCGGAUCAGAAAAACACAAGAAUGAUGGAGGAAACAGGAGGCGAGUAUUUGAGGAUUUUGUUACAAAAUUCCUUACUGGAAAAAGUCCAAGACAAGUUGAGGACAUACUAUAAAAUGCACGAUCUCGUGCAUGAUUUUGCAAAAUCAAUUCUCAAUCCAGAAAGCAGCAAUCAAGAUCGAUAUCUUGCAUUGAACUCUUCUGAAGGUUUGGUAGAAAAAACCACAAUGACAAUACCAGCAUCAAUUCGUACGUUAUUUCUCCAUCUAGAGGAUGGCAUAUCUGCUGGCAUGCUUUUAAGAUUCAAGUACUUGCAUGUUCUCAGAUUGUCUGGCAAUGAUGUCGUGUUUCUACCGAGCUCCAUUGGCAAACUAUUACAUUUGCGGUUGCUCGACAUUUCAUCUUCUCGAAUCAAAAGUUUGCCAGAAUCUCUUUGCAAGCUAUAUAAUUUGCAGACACUAACGAUUCGAAAUAAUGCACUUGGAGAAGGUUUUCCAAAACGGAUGAAUGAUUUGAUUAGCUUGAGGCAUCUAAACUACUAUCAUCAUCGUGCAAAAUUUAAAAUGCCGAUGCAAAUGGGACAAUUGACUUGUCUUCAAACUCUGAAGUUCUUUAAUGUAAGUCAAGAGAAGGGUUGUGGCAUCGAAGAGCUUGGGACCUUGAAAUAUCUUAGAGGAUCAUUGGAGAUAAGAAAUCUUGGACUAGUAGAGGGAAAAGAUGCAGCUAAACAAGCAAAAUUGUUCGAAAAGCCAAAUCUGUCUCGCUUAAGGUUGGACUUUAGACGGAAGAGGGGGCAUCGGAAAAGCGAUAACUGUGAUGAGGAUGUGUUCGAAGGUCUCCAACCUCACCCAAAUUUGCAAAAGUUGGAAAUUCGAUAUUUUAUGGGUACUAAAUUUUCGCAAUGGCUUAUCAAUUUGCCAAAAUUGGUGGAGUUGUGGAUAGAAGAUUGCAAGAGAUGCAGUGAACUCCCCUCAUUAGGACAACUACCAUCCCUCAAACGUCUCUAUUUGAACAAACUAGAAAACAUUCGAUCUAUUGGAGAUGAAUUCUAUGGUAUUACUACUAAUGAGGAGGGGGAGGAGAAGGGCAGAUCACGAGCAUCAGGGAGCAGCACUAGAAGACGAAAAUUCUUUCCGGCCCUUGAAGAACUCCGUGUAGCAUAUAUGAAGAAUUUGGUAGAGUGGAAGGAUGCAGACCAAGUGAGGUCAACAAUAGCCGAAGAAGCAGCAGAUGUCUUUCCCAUGCUGAUGGAUUUGAGCAUUCAACAUUGCCCCCAACUGACCACUCUCCCGUGCUCAUGCAAAAUUCUAGACGUGCAAUAUUGCCGCAAUCUAACAAGUAUAAAAACGGGUUACGGCACUGCUUCUGUUGAGAAGUUGAAGAUUGGCUGUUGCAACAAUCUUAGGGAGCUGCCAGAAGAUGUGUUUGGAUCGAGUUUGCAGCGGCUGAGCAUCGAAAGUUGCCCAAGAUUAAUUAGUCUGGGAGUAAAUGGGAAGAAAUGCCCACUACCAUGUCUUGAACGAUUGAGUAUUCAAUAUUGCUACGGGUUGACCACUAUAUCCGACAAAAUGUUCGAGUCAUGCCAGUCUCUGAGGUCCCUGUCGGUGGAGUGUUGCCCCAAUCUGGUGUCAUUUUCGCUUAAUUUGCAGGAGACGCCUUCUCUCGAGGAUUUCGCCCUGCUCAACUGUCCCAAAUUGAUCCCUCACAGGUUCAAUGGAUUUGCUUUUGCCACCAGCUUAAGAAAUUUGUGGAUCGGUCCCUUCUCCUCAGAUGACUCCUCAAUCGAUGGUUUUGACUGGUCUGGUUUAAGAUCUGCAUCAACACUGUGUAAGGUUCACUUAGAAGGGUUAUGUCACUCGGAUUCCCUGCCACACCAGCUUCAAUACUUGACUACCCUCACUUCACUAAACCUGAAGAACUUUGGACGAAUAGAAGUGCUACCUGAUUGGAUUGGAAACCUUGUGUCCCUUGAAACCCUACAGCUAUCGAAUUGCGAAAAGCUUCGAUGUUUACCGUCUGAGGCUGCCAUGAGACGACUCACAAAGUUAACAAGUGUUGAAGUUCGUCGGUGUCCUCUAUUAAGACAACGAUACACUCCCCAAAGAGGCAUCUACUUGGAGGAGUAGAUUUCAAGUUAUUUUGUAAGAUUUUCCUAUCUAAAGUUCACACUUAUAUGUAUACAAAUAUUUUGACAUAAAUUUGCUCUUCAGUCUCUUAUACUCUGUUUUCUCCGUCUCUUCUAUGAAAUUUCACUAGUCUUGUAAAGUUAAUCUCUGUAAUCCUCUUCUUUUUGGGCAGACCUCGGUUUCUCUUCAAAGAUUAGUUUUAACAGAUCCCGGUUUUGAACAAAUUAGAAGAGACCAAAAUUCUGGAUUUCCUCUGCCUCUCUGAAUCACUGAAAGAUUUUGAACAUCUUAAAAACUCCUUACACUUCAAAUUGUUACAUUCUAUUUGGCCAAGGACGAAAUUAUUAGCAAUGGUGAAUACACAAUUAGCCUCUUUGUUUGAAUGUGUUGGAAAAUGUUUCAUUUGAUUUGUAAUGCUACAUGUACGUGGACCCAUUCUUCAUUUUUCUGUCACCUGAUAUUGCCGGUUUGAACGGACAACAUUAAAGCUAAUCAAGAAACAUUUGCGAAGAAAAUUCAAGAAACAAUUUUCUGUUCAAGAUACAAUAAUUUUGGAUAGUUGUUUGUCAUGUUUCACAAGUUCCAGAAGUUUAUACAUCACAAUUACCAUGCAGGCCAGCAGCGAGAGCGAACAAGAAGAAGUCGAUGACAAUGAACAAGCAGGCAGAGAUGGUGAACAAAAAAGCAUUGAUAGUGUGCUCAAACAUCAGCUUCAUGGUGUUUCCCAUCGUUGCUGAAGAAGAAGAAGAGCUUAGGAGGUUUGUUGUGUAGAAAAGUGAUAAUGGAGCAUUUCUCUCCCCAAGAACUCUUUUAUUACCUCCAUCCAAUUUACUAAGAGUACAAGGAAUUGGUGCAACUUUGCAUUCUAGUAUGCUUGAGUCAUGUAAUUGGCCUAAGAACAGGGCAUUUUCCUGUACUUUUAUGUGUUUGUGAACUUUUACCCUAUGCCAACAGCUUAUCUUUUGCUCUUUAAGAUUUUUUUAUUUACUUGGUGCUAAACAUGUCUUUUGAUUGUGAAAGAAUCUGGUCUUUUCCGAUUUUCUUGCACUAGUUACUAGACCAUAACUUUUCUUUGCUUCCAUUGUUCAUUAUAAUCGGAGCCAUACUGAAAUGUACCAUUGUGAUGCUUUCUAGAGUCUUAGGAGGCAUAGCUUAUGUUAUUGGACAAAGGACACCAUCGUUUACACACCAAUUGUCACACGAUAUUGCAUAAUAGGAGAAACUUCUUGAAUUCUGGUGGGCUUUGAUUGGUUUAAGUAGGAUGAUGUUUCUUUUAUGUGUUGUACUGACCCCUUCUGUAUAGUUUACAUAGAUCUAAUUGGGCUGCUGCUUCUGAUAUGAUCCCAGAAGUACAUACGUUUAGUUUUUUAAGCUGCAAUAUCGGUUUUUCUCAAUGCACUGCCAUCACUAGUUUGUUAUAUUGGUUUCUGGUUGGUAGAUGAAUUUUUAUUGAGUUGAAGUUUCAUUUCUUAGCAUUUAUUAAUUCUAAUUUGAAUUUGCUUUUAAAUAUUUAGGCCAUGUUCUCGCUUAAAGGUAGGGAAAAUACAUUAGAGAAGAUUUGAGGAGGCUAUUGAUUACGUAAAUGAGCAGCUUCCUUCAGAUGAUUCCUCUGUUCCAGCUGUAAGACUGUUUGUUGCCAUAAAUUCAACUCUCUAGUUCUGGCUUUUCUGAAUCAGCCGAACUGAACUCUAGCUUUUUGAUUGUUUUGCAGGCUUCCGAUGCUAACCUGAAAAAUGCAACGGACAGGAAAGAGGCACAAAUCCCUCCGGAGCUUAUAACUCGAUGUGUAGCUAUUCUGCUUGACCACUCUCCCGUGCUCAUGCAAAAUUCUAGACGUGCAAUAUUGCCGCAAUCUAACAAGUAUAAAAACGGGUUACGGCACUGCUUCUGUUGAAAAGUUGAAGAUUGGCUGUUGCAACAAUCUUAGGGAGCUGCCAGAAGAUGUGUUUGGAUCGAGUUUGCAGCGGCUGAGCAUCGAAAGUUGCCCAAGACUAAUUAGUCUGGGAGUAAAUGGGCUGAAAUGCCCACUACCAUGUCUUGAACGAUUGAGUAUUCAAUAUUGUGUUGGGUUGACCACUAUAUCCGACAAAAUGUUCGAGUCAUGCCAGUCUCUGAGGUCCCUGUCGGUGGAGUGUUGCCCCAAUCUGGUGUCAUUUUCGCUUAAUUUGCAGGAGAUGCCUUCUCUCGAGGAUUUCGCCCUGCUCAACUGUCCGAAAUUGAUCCCUCAUAGGUUCAAUGGAUUUGCUUUUGCCACCAACUUAAGAAAAUUGUGGAUCGGUCCCUUCUCCUCAGGUGACUCCUCAAUUGAUGGUUUUGACUGGUCUGGUUUAAGAUCUGCAUCAACACUCCGUAAGGUUCACUUAGAAGGGUUACGUCACUCGGAUUUCCUGCCACACCAGCUUCAAUACUUGACUACCCUCACUUCACUAAAUCUGAAGAACUUUGGAGGAAUAGAAGUGCUACCUGAUUGGAUUGGAAACCUUGUGUCCCUUGAAACCCUACAGCUAUCGAAUUGCGAAAAGCUUCGAUGUUUGCUGUCUGAGGCUGCCAUGAGACGACUCACAAAGUUAACUAGUGUUGAAGUUCGUCGGUGUCCUCUAUUAAGACAACGAUACGCUCCCCAAAGAGGCAUCUACUUGGAGGAGUAGAUUUCAAGUUAUUUUGUAAGAUUUUCCUAUCUAAAGUUCACACUCAUAUAUAUGUAUACAAAUUUUUUGACAUAAAUUUGCUCUUCAGUCUCUUAUACUCUGUUUUCUCCGUCUCUUCUAUGAAAUUUCACUAGUCUUGCAAAGUUAAUCUCUGUAAUCCUCUUCUUUUUGGGCAGACCUUGGUUUCUCUUCAAAGAUUAGUUUUAACAGAUCAUGGUUUUGAACAAAUUAGAAGAGACCAAAAUUCUGGAUUUCCUCUGCCUCUCUGAAUCACUGAAAGAUUUUGAACAUCUUAAAAACUCCUUACACUUCAAAUUGUUACAUUCUAUUUGGCCAAGGAUGAAAUUAUUAGCAAUGGUGCAUACACAAUUAGCCUCUUUGUUUGAAUGUGUUGGAAAAUGUUUCAUUUGAUUUGUAAUGCUACAUGUACGUGGACCCAUUCUUCAUUUUUCUGUCACCUGAUAUUGCCGGUUUGAACGGACAACAUUAAAGCUAAUCAAGAAACAUUUGCGAAGAAAAUUCAAGAUACAAUUUUCUGUUCAAUAUACAAUAAUUUUGGAUAGUUGUUUGUCAUGUUUCACAAGUUCCAGAAGUUUAUACAUCACAAUUACCAUGCAGGCCAGCAGUGAGAGCGAACAAGAAGAAGUCGAUGACAAUGAACAAGCAGGCAGACAUGGUGAACAAAAAAGCACUGAUAGUGUGCUCAAACAUCAGCUUCAUGGUGUUUCCCAUCGUUGCUGAAGAAGAAGAAGAUCUUAGGAGGUUUGUUGUGUAGAAAAGUGAUAAUGCAGCAUUUCUCUCCCCAAGAACUCUUUUAUUACCUCCAUCCAAUUUACUAAGAGUACAAGGAAUUGGUGCAAGUUUGCAUUCUAGUAUGCUUGAGUCAUGUAAUUGGCCUAAGAACAGGGCAUUUUCCUGUACUUUUAUGUGUUUGUGAACUUUUACCCUAUGCCAAUAGCUUAUCUUUUGCUCUUUAAGAUUUUUUUAUUUACUUGGUGCUAAACAUGUCUUUUGAUUGUGAAAGAAUCUGGUCUUUUCCGAUUUCCUUGCACUAGUUACUAGACCAUAACUUUUCUUUGCUUCCACUGUUCAUUAUAAUCGGAGCCAGACUGAAAUGUACCAUUGUGAUGCUUUCUAGAGUCUUAGGAAGCAUAGCUUAUGUUAUUGGACAAAGGACACCAUCGUUUACACACCAAUUGUCACACGAUAUUGCAUAAUAGGAGAAACUUCUUGAAUUCUGGUGGGCUUUGAUUGGUUUAAGUAGGAUGAUGUUUCUUUUAUGUUUGUACUGACCCCUUCUGUAUAGUUUACAUAGAUCUAAUUGGGCUGCUGCUUCUGAUAUGAUCCCAAAAGUGCAUACCUUUAGUUUUUUAAGCUGCAGUAUCGGUUUUUCUCAAUGCACUGCCAUCACUAGUUUGUUAUAUUGUUGGUUUCUGGUUGGCAGAUGAACUUUUAUUGAGUUGAAGUUUCAUUUCUUAGCAUUUAUUAAUUCUAAUUUGAAUUUGCUUUUCAUUUAGGCCAUGUCCUCGCUUAAAGGUUGGGAUAAUAGAGAAGAUUUGAGGAGGCUAUUGAUUACGUAAAUGAGCAGCAUCCUUCAGAUGAUUCCUCUGUUCCAGCUGUAAGACUGUUUGUUGCCAUAAAUUCAACUCUCUAGUUCUGGCUUUUAUGAAUCAAACGAACUGAACUCUAGCAUUUUGAUUGUUUUGCAGGAUCCGAUCCUAACCUGAAAAAUGCAACAGACAGGAAAGAGGCACAAAUCCCUCCGGAGCUUAUCACUCGAUGUGUAGCUACUCUGCUCAUGAUUCAGCUCCUUAUAUCUCUAAGAUCCUUUAUUCCCAUCUUGUCUCUUUCUUUGCUUCAUAGAGGGCCCACUUGUGAUGAUGUUUAUAUCAGAAGUUUGAUCACUUGGACGAUUCCCUUUUCCUGUUAAAACUACAAGCUGUGCAUAUUUUGGUUUAUAUUUUCCUUAUGGCUUAUUAUCAGUUCAAAGUACUGAAUCUCAGUUUCAAUAAAGUGGAUAUUUAUGGCUAUUAAAUUGUAGCCAUAAUGAAGUUACUGACUCAAUCUAGCAACUAUUCGUAUAAUGGGAUCACUCCCUUGUUUUGCUUUUUUUCAAUGAAUUAAGGAGGAGUUGAAACUAAUCUCAAACUUCGUUUAACUGAUAAUGAAGCUCACCCUUCACUUGCUUGCUGCUGUUAGGUUUGCAUCAUUUUUGAAAUAUUUUCUUUGUCAACUCCAUUUAUUGGUUAGCAAGUUCUUUCCGCAGUUGUAGGAAUGACACGACUAGAAUAUCAGUUCUCUAUUCGAGAAUUGAACAUCUGUGCGUACAAUGUUUUAAAUGCUCUUCAUUCUACAAUUUGUUGUUUUGUUUUCUUGUGAUUUACACAGUUCGACCUUUUUGCGAAUGUAUACUUAUUGGCUUAAUAUUGCAGUCAUUUGUUGCAAAAAUGUACAGAGAGGCAGUUUCCACCAGCCGAUGUGGCUCAAAUAUUGGAUUCUGCAAUUACAAGCUUGAAGCCUUGCUGCCCACAAAACCUUCCAGUUUAUACUGAAAUACAGAAGUGCAUGGGAAUUGUCAGGAACCAAAUAUUGGCGCUUAUACCUACUUAGCCAAUAAAACUUGGACGUAUUUCUUUUUCAUAUCUGCAAUGUAGUAAUUGAUUUGAUUGCCAUCUUAGCUUCUAAGGCUACCAUGACAAAGUUUUCUGUUUGUACCCACCAACAUCAAUGCAAUGAAUUAUCACUUCCAUUAUACUUCGAAUAAGGCCAUCUAUGUUCAAAUCCAUGAUAGAUUUGCCUCUUACUUCCUGCUGUUAAGUAGAUUACCUAGCCAGAGAUUGUUGUCUCGGCCUGAAUUUGCACACAUUGCUAGCAGCUGUAGAUGUUCAAUCAAUAUUCAAAAUAUUGUGUAUUGAUCUAAGAGCUUUAGUUGUUUUACCCCUUUUAAACAAGAUAGAAUUUUUGUUAUUGUUGCUCACUGCCUGGCUGCAAAGGCCAGGAAAUUUCUUGAUAAUGGAGAAGUAUUUCCCAGUUCAGGAAAAAAGAAAAAUGAAAAAGAUAUGAAUUGAAGUACAAACUAUUUUGGCCCCUGUUGGGGUUUCAAUCCCACAUCGGCUGGGGGGGUUUGGGGGGUUUAGUAGUUAAGUCUCCUGGGUCGUCGUCAAAAGUUGCCGGCUUUUGACGAUUGGUCUGGGGUUUAGGUUUGAUGAAAUUUCCUCUUGGGUUUUCCAAGAAGAUGAAAGAAAAAAAAGUACAAACUAUUUUUAGUACGUGGUUGGCGAGAAAAAAGUAGAAAUCUAAACAUCUCUACUUUUAAUCAAGUUGUCUUAGGUGAGUUGGUCACUAAAUGAAACACAAGGUACAGGCAUGACUCGAGGUCAGAAGUUUUAACAUUGACCAAAAAAAAAAAUGGUCUACUUUUAUUUACAAAUACAACUAAAGAAAGAGAAAAUUUUGGGUUCAAUCCCCCACAUUUAGGGGGAGUUUUUUUGGGUCCCACAUUUUUUGAAAGGCAUAAUUACAAAAACACCCAUAAGGCUUGUGACAUAUCACAUGGUAUCCCUAAACAUUGAAAAAUGUCACCUACAUCCCUUAUUUUCAACUUCUUGCAACUUUGUCAACCUGUUUAAACAAAUAUGAUUUAAAAACUCAUUUUGGGAGAGAUAAGACAUUUUCAUUCCAAAAUUACCCUUGUGGACCUUUAGCUUUCAUAACAAACCAAAUCAAUUUCUUAAUAACUACAACUUGUUAAUGAAACUGAAAGACCUUUUAUAGUUUUCGAUAUCAUCUAUCUAAACAAAAAGAAAAAAAAUAGAAACUCUAAAUGAUUUAGAAGACUCAUACGAGUCAUCCAAAAAUUGUUACAGUUAAGAAAAUAACUUUUUGCACCUUCAAAACACCUCAAAUAAAUUUCUAAAUAUAUUGUCAGUAAUUUUUUCUUUUUCUUGUUUUCAAGCCAUCAAUUUGGACAGAAAUUUUGAACAUUCAAAAUAUUCUAAACAAUUUAUAGGAUCCUUAAAUUCAUCCAAAAGACUUUGCAGCAAACAAAAUAAGUUAUCUUUGAAAAUGCCUUAAAUGAGUUUGUAAACUUAAUUUUAGACAUUGUGUCCAUUUUUUAUUUUCAAAUCAUUAGCCUAUACACAAAAUUUCAAAAAUUCCAAAGAUUCUUAAAAUUUAUAAAACUCCUCCAAUUAACGAAAACCGUUACAAUAAAUGAAAUAUUUUUUCAGCUUGAAAAACCUUAAACAUAAUCUUAAAGAUUAAUCUUUUGUACCUUCAAAACAUCUGCUAGUAUAUUUUAUCUUGCCAAAAUUACGCCUGCACACUAUUUUUUUUUUUUUAAUUUUCAAGCUUUUAGUACUAUAGUUUCACUUUUAAAAAACUAGCUGAACAACGCAAGGGCAAUUUUGGCAUGAAACAUCUUCUUUCUCAAAAUUGUGUUUUUAAUAAUAUAUUUUGAAAUGGACUGAUAACGUAGUUGAAAAUGAAGGAGAUAGGUGACAUUUUUCAAAGUAGAGGGUUCCAUGUAGCAUUGUCAUGACCUUAGGAAAGGUUUCUGAAAGUAUUUCUCACCUUAUAAAAAUAAAGCAAACUAUUCCCAAAAUGACAACCUGAUAUAUAUUAUAGAAGCAAAAUUAGAACGUCACUUUAGUUUUUGUGGAAUCUAGGCACAUGUGAUAUGUGCAUGACAUUAGGUUGACGUAAAAAGGAAAAAAAAUUAAAAAUUAUAACAUAAAAACAAACCAUUCUCUUUAAAAAAAAUUUUUUUUUUUAGAACAUAAAAAGGACAGUGUAUAUGUGUGUAGUGUUAAAUUAACAACAAACUUGCAUUUACAAUAUUGAAAUACAGUAUAUAUGUCUGUGUGUAUACAUGUAGUUAACUGGAGAGUUUUGGUAUUUUAUUUUCUUUUGGAAUUGGUUUUUUCAAUAUUAUAUCUAUCGGAUUGUAGUUAACAACAGGUUUGUAUGCAUACUCAGUGUUACUUCAAUCUGACGGCGCGCCCUAUCGUUGCAGCAGUAGCAGCAAGAGCAACGCGCACGCGAUCGGUUGCACCGGCCAAAAUUUCAAACGUUCAUUUUUUUGAGUUCCAAAUAUGAAAAAGACGUGGAAGGCACAGCAAUUUAUGCUGCGCAUUUCUUUGGUGCAAAGGAUAGAAAAGGAACAGAAGGGCGUUAUUGUCAACCAUCACCUCAUAAUCAGGGUAUUAUAGUCAAGCAACAAACACACAACCCCUGCCCAACUGGUCAAGCAUCAGGCCAUUGAUUAAGAUUUUAACCAUCUCCAAAUUGACGCAAAUACCCACCUACUCAUGGUGCCCAUAGGGGGCCAUGAGCACCAUACAUACCCCGAUUCCCCCUCUUUAAUUAUCUUUGAUUGAUAUAUAUACUAACCAUUAUCAUUAUCAUUACUACAUAAAAAGUAUCAUGAGCCACAUUAUGAAGUGCAAGUAUAAGCAUUCUUGUGAUAUUCGUUUUUCUUAUUUCAAUUAUGUCAUUGUUAAUUGGUGAUUGAAGUUUCAUAUUAUACUUUUUUAAAUUUAUUAUGAUGAUUAUAAUUCAUUAAAAUUCUUUUUUUGGGUAUUUUGGAGUAUCUUUAGCAAGUUACUGUAGAUGUUUUUUUACAAAUUAUUUGUCUUCGUAAAAUACUCCAUAAACAUAGAUGCUAAACAAAAACCUAGUUUUUUUAAAAACAUUUUUAGUUUAAAAGCUGGAAAAGAUUUUGGCUUUACCACUAGUUUAAAACUUCCAAAAGGAUUAAUAAUUAAGAUUAAACAAUAAUGUUUUAAGUUUAUCUCCAGGACUAACAGACGAGUACGUUCCCUCCGGAUUGGAACGUACUCAGUCAGUAAAGAGAUGAAGGCCACAGCAACAACAUGAUUAACAAAACUCAAGUGAAAAUGCCAACCGACUUUGCCAAUGAAGCAGUGCACUUCUACACGUAUUAAGGGUCCACAUUUGGUCACAUCAUUAUCAUUUUUGGUCAUUAGAGCAUAAUACUAGAAAUAUGUGUAUGAAAUAUUUCACUUAUUAUGGCGAUGUACACUUUCAAUGCAACGAAUGUACAAUUCAAACUUGAGUUUAUGUUGUAAUGAAUAUGUAAACAAGAGUUACAUUAUGGCCUAAUCUUUGAGCAUAGAGCACAAUUGUUAAGGCACUUUUUAUCUAUUCAAUGAGCAUGCAUCAUUCAAGUUAUUCUUUGUCUAACGUCAUUAGUCAAGCACUUUAGCGAAAAGCAAGAGAUAUGUAAUUAUGUUGAUGCCCCUUUCUUGGUAAGAUGGAAGCAAAUGCAUCAUUCAAGUUAUUCUUGGCCAAAAUUCAUUCAUCAUUUGUUUAAAAAUAAUAAUAAUAAGAUAGCGACAAUGGCACGCCAAUCCCCAUGAAAGUGAGUUCAACAUCCAUGGUUGCGUAAAGUUUAAAAGGCUCAUUUCUCGAUAAUUUUACAAUUUAAUCAAAAUACUUCAUAUCUCAAGAUUCCAUGGAUUAUUAUUUUCUCUUUCCAAAAAUAAAGGUUCAAGUAAUUAGACAUCACAAGCCUGAGACACAAAGGUAAUUCUAUGUGUUUUACAUGCUUUUCAAAUUAAGAAUACUUCUUAUAGGUGCCGCAAAAAAAUCCCAAAAAAAAACGUCCUUUCUUGUUUGAUGGCACGAGAAUACUACAAUAUUUUUCAUUCUAAAGCAAAUUAUAAUUAGAGUGUCAUGGAAUACAGUAUAUAAAACAUACACAAACAAUAUUGCCAAGGUCCAAACUAGUUUCGAAAAGCAUGAGGGACUAUUUAAUCAGUUACACAAGUCAAAAAUUGCAAUGUAACGCAUUCUAUUGUUGGACCAAUUACGUGAUGAGAUCACUAAGCCUCAUGAAUGAGACACGAAGGUCAUUGUCCACAAAUCAGGCUACUUUUUGAAGCCAGUUCCCAAAACAUGACGGUUUUCAAACAAACGUAUUCAGUGAAUGCGUUUUUUGGGAAAUGCAUUCGCUAAAUGCAAUGUUUAAAAUUUUAAGAAAAAAAUAUAGUUUUAGUCCCUAAUGUUUAAUCUCUAUGCAAUUUUAGUUCUUAAAGUUUUGACAAAAGUAAUCUGGUCCUCAAUGUUUAGUAUAUGUAUAGUUUUAGUCCCUAAAGUUUUGGCAAGAGCAAAUCCGACCUCCAAUAUUAUCAAUUUGAAGCAUUUUUAGGACAACUGGUGGAUUUUUCUAAAUAUUGAUCGAAUCAGUCAUCUUUGGUCACAUAUUUGUCGAAAAACUUCUUAAAAAGUAGCGAAAUAACAAGUAAUCUUGAACAAUAAGAAUAACUUGCACGCUAGCACAUUAAUAACUAAUUAAUUGAGAGAAAAAAAGAAAAUUUGUUAAUCUAUACCUAAAAUUAGGUCUUACAAUUUUUUUUUUUUUUGCUUGGAGACAUUGGGAAUAGUCAAUGAAAAUGAAUUCUGGAUUGAUGAACUAGGUACAUUGAAGUUUUAAAUUAAAAAUUUUCCUUCUUUUAACUAUUUAAUUAGUUAGGACAUGAGUUAUGAGUUCUUAAUUUUGUUGCUUCAACUUAGCUACUAUUUUGCUUCUUUAUUUUGAAAUUUAAAUUAAUAGGCAAAUGAUUAGGCGUGACUAUAUUUUGUUAGUAAUUGAGAUAAAAUUAUUCAAAUGUCCUAAACUAGAUUCAAAUUGGAUAUAAUGGGGACCAAAUUUGCUCUUGCUAAAACUUUAUGGACUAAAACUGCAGACGUGCUACAUAUUAAGGAUCAUGUUUGCUUUUGUUAAAACUUUAAGGACUAAAACUGUACAUGGGCUAAACAUUGAGGACUAAAAUUGCAUUUUUUUAAAAAUGGAAAAUUUAUGCCUACAAAGAAUGAAAAGUGGCAUUUAGGAAAUGCAAUUUUUUAACAAUUGGGGUCGGUCUAGUGGCCAAAAGAGAGCCUUUAGAGUUUUCAUGGUCAUUAGAUUUAGGGUUUGAAUCCUGUAUCUGACAGUUGAGAGCAGGAAAGGUGUAGGGAUAGGUGGGAGGGUUAAGAAAAAUGCAACUUUUCUCAAAAGUUGCAAUUACGAAAUAUGUUUUUCACCCUUUGGAAAGAAGUUUGAAAAACAUCACUUUUAGGAAUUUCUUUUUAAAAACUAGCACUCAUUGGGGAUAUACUGACGGGCUUUUGAUAUGUGUAUAAGUUUAAAUCCAAUUUACUCUUUUUGACUGUAAGUAUCACUACAAGAAAAACAGCUUAUAAAGGCGCAUGAAAAUGUCACAAGUCACACUUUGUUGAGGCACUUAAUAUAUUGAGGCAGAUACCUAGUGUACCAUGUAAAACCUAUGUCACAAAAGCUUUUGAAGGCACAAUUAAGUGCCACAACAUAGAAAACAAUUCAGACAUCCAGAAGUGCCAAAACAAGGUUAUAAUACUGUUGGCUUGUCAAACCAGCAAAAAUAAAAGUUCCUACUCUAAAAAUAUGAAUUCGAGUGUAGUGGUGAGUAGGGUCGUAUCCACAGGGAUUGGGUGAUUUAUUUCUUUGUGAAAAAUGGGGGAUUAGGAGAAAUUAACCAAAUAGCUCACUUGAAUAAAAAUAAAGACAGUAUCACAAAAUUAAAUAAAACUAAAUCAAGAAAAGGCAACACUCUAGUCGAAGGUCUAAUCUCCACUUUGGUUCAUUUAAUUGAUCAUCGAUGCAAAGGUGAAAUCACUUAUUCAUAAAUAAACUGGUUAUGGUUGUCAACACGCUCUGACAACCUGCCUCACCUUACUGUUUCGAUAACCACAACACGCUCUGUGGCUAUUUCUCUUACCAAUUAAGCAACCCUAAACAAGCUCUUAGGAUUUAACCUAUUGACAACAUUAAUAAUUAGAUAAACUACCAAUUCUAACCAACAAACACACACGCUCGGUUCAUUUAAGUUAGAUUAUAUAUUCCCGUGACAUAGAUUCGAAAGUUUCUUUUACAAUCAAAUUAUAUCACGCGCCACAGAUAUUAAAACCAUCAAACAAUUACGGAUUUGAUAUUUUAGAUGGCAAUAGACUAUUUCGACAAUUAAAUAUUGAUCAGGUAUUUAACUGUAGCAAAUAAUCAUAGUCAUGAAUGAGCAGAGAAUAUAUAAAUACUCAUAAAUAAAUGAAGCAAACAAAUCAAAUUAGAUCUCAUAGUAUUGUAGAACCAAAGCUUCAAUUAUCCUUCAACUAAAAAAGGAAUUAAUUAGCCGCUCCUCCUGGUAGAGUCGCGCGCCACAAGGAAUACUAGGGUUUAUUGUAGAGAAAAAGAGAAAAAGAAUGAGAGCUAGAGAAAGAAUUCCCCCUGGCCGAAGGCUUCCCUCCUUCUUAUACUCCUACGAGACUAGUUUAAUCCCCAUGGACCAAGGAAAUUGUCUCCUAAAAGGAAAAGACUUCCUUUUCUAGUCUUAUUCCUACUUAAACUAAUAAAGUAAUAAAAGUUCAAUAAGCUAAUUCCUUUCCAAAUGGAAUGCAUCGCUCCACAAUUGAUCAGAACUUCCAAUUUGUGGCUAAUGUAGCAAUCAAGGACACGGCAAGUGCAAUUCCGUGGAUUCAGUCCUUCACUUAGUCAUCUCGCGUGCCCACGUCUUAUAGAGUGCAGUCUUCUGAAAUUCAGCUUUAAUGCCCUUUUUACUCCAUUCUCAUCAACAACUUGUAAAAACAAUACCAAAAAUCAAAUAUGAAUAAAAUUUAUCGCUUAACACCACAUUUUAGCAAAAUAAAGGGGAAAUUAUUCACCAAUUAUAUGCACAAUCAGCCACUUAACAAAUGCUAACACCUAAAAAUGCCUUAAUUGGGAUUCAACUUUCAAGAACUCAGCUUUUUAGAGGCACAAAACAAUGUCAUCUUAACUUUAAGUUGACACUUAUAAAUGCCUUAACAGUCCGUUCUUGAGAUAGUAGUAAAUGUCAAAAAAUGAUUGUUAUUGAGGCAUGCAAGUAUGUCAAUGUAUAUCUUAAUGUAGAUACUGGCAUAUGCCUCUAUAUUAACCUUUAAAGAUGUUUUAAAAUGCCUCAAAAACCUACUGUGUAACAAGAAAAUUUCUACUGCGAAAAACCGUUAUCGCAACACUUACAAGUGCCUCAAUAGACUGAAUUUGUUUUUCUUUUUUAUACCCAGCCACAGGUAUUACGGUGAAUAUAGCAUUCCUAUUGUAUCAAUAUAAUCAUACAUUCAUAUUGGACAUCUCACAUUCAAUGACCAAAACCAACAAUAUUUGAUUGAACAACCACUUUCAAAUUAUCUCCAUAACCAAUGAUUACAAUUAAAGUGCUCAUAACUUCUAGUAGUUUUUCAACCAACCAAUUAAACUUUCAUCCUUGCAAAAAAAAAAACAUAAUAUUUGAGACAACAUUCAUGAAACAGCUAGAAUAUCCUACUGAUUGUUUGCCACGAUUUCACCUAAAUAGCACUAGAUAAAUUAAAAUCAACUAAACCGCUGGUAGACCAACUUCUUGUAAUAUAUGCAACAACACUUUGUCCUUUUACAGUUAGAGCACUUCCAUAUAAAUGGAUAAGUAUCCAUAUGCUGCAACACCUUGUCCACUUUUGAAUUUCAGCACAUCAAUCUUCGCAAAUUUUACCUAUAGCAUAAGUAUAUUAUGUAUUAAAAUCCAUCAUAAUUAUCCAAUGAAACAAACAUAUGAGAUAUUAUCAGUUAACAUAAUUUGAAAGCUAGAAAAGCAAAAACAUACUAGUUUUGUUGGUCAAGCUAUAGGAGCACCAAUUGAGUCAGCAAGUCUGUAAUAGCUAGAGAACAAAUAGUUUAGCAGGUUUUCUAUAUCUUAUCUUAUACAUUAAUAAGUUCCAAAAGGAGAGGUUGAACAAUUACCUUCUCGACUAUAUUUUUUUUCGAUGUGCCAAUAAGGAAUGGAUGAUGUAAGCAGCAAAGUAGUCCGACAGAAAUACAUUUGGAAGCAGUCAAAACGGAAGAUCCAAUUACAACCGAAGCCUUCACCAAAAGCUCCACAGGUGGGAUGAAGGGCACUUGAGGAUCCAACAAAUUUUCAGAGUCACUGCAAGCCAAACAAUAAAAUAAAUAAAAAGAACAAAAAAGAAUAAGUAAAUUAUGUACAAGGGUAAGUACAAGAUCAUAAUAAUCAACUAAAUUCCAACUGUUGCACUGAAGUUUAAGCCAAAAGACAAACUGACAUACAAGAAUCUAUCUUACAAGCAAAAAUAUAGUAGGAAAAAUGGUGCACAUGAUUUUGGAGGCCAUUCCUUGAGUGAAACAAAUCCACAACAUAGUUAAUAUUAUUACAUGGCCUCUCAAACACCUCUGGUACAAGGAACAUGGUCCAAUACCCAGCCAAGUCCAUUCAUAGACAUACCCAGAACUCCAACAUCAAUUUUGAACCAAAACUUCACAAUUAGUCAAGUCAUCUGCACCCCAGCAUGAAAAUACAUGCUUACUAAGCUGCAUCUGCCCCAAAAUAUCUCACAAUCAAACAGCAUCACUUUGACCAACAAAUCACCACUACCACAACCUUUUGAACUGUAACUAUAAUACCAUUUCUACCAGAUCCUUAAAGUAUAACAUCAAGAUUCACAUGAACUACAGGCAAUCAAAGACAAUUUGCAGUUUACUUCAUAAUAUAUUAAAUCCCAAAGCACCCAUAGAUGAAGAAAUUACUUGUCUAGAUCAAAGCGUUUUCUAGGCUACACUUGUCUACAAAAUUACUAUAAAGUGGUCAUUGCUCAUUAGAAAGACUUAAAAAGCACCCAAAUCAAGAAGAACGCUAUAUAAGUCAGUCUAAUUAUUGGGGUAAAGAAAAACAGAUCUUUCUCCAUAUUUACAUUCUUAGGUCUUGAUCAACCUGUCAACAAAUAAUUUCAUGCAUAGUUUUUUUUUAUGAAUUCAUCAUCAUCAUCAACAUCAAAAGCACACUGACUCAGAACUUUUACAAGAAAGCGCUCGCUUGAAGAAAAAACACAAAGGGCUGUUUACUUAUGCAACUAAGAAAUCAUAGACAAAAAAACAGAGAGAGACAACCACCCUUAAUUCAAUAAAAUCCCAAUCUCUCUGAUUAUCUCAUUUGGCCUCAAAGAAAAUGGCUCAGAUCUUUCAUCAGAGCAAAAGAGGGAGAGAACCACCGCCAUGGCUGCAAAAACCCAGUUGCAUGCAAAAGGGAGACGGGAAAGAAUCCCCCAUUUUCAGGCCAUCAGGGUUGCCCUGCUAAGAUACGGGUCUGUUCACCUCAAAUUGCCCUGCAAAAGAAAAACUUGCUCCGAUUUUGAGAAUAAAAAAUAAUCAUCACAGCCUUUUUGACGUCAUCUUUUCUUUUCUUUCCUAAACUCGCAAAGUAAAGCCCUGGGAAGUUUUCCAGGGAAUCGGAGUACAAGGGCUCGUUUGGUUCGACUCAGUAAAAAAAAAUGGGGGCGCUAAGUGUAAUUAACCCUUGUCUAAAACGAUGAAGGGAUGUCAGUUUUGCUGUAAUGUGAUGGAGAAAGAAAUCAUAGGCUAAGAAGUAGAGAGGGGCAACCACCCUUGAAGAAAAUCCCAUCUCCCUGCUCGCAUCAUUUCUCGGAGCUCCCUCAUGCCUAGUUGGAAAAAAAAAAGAAAUUUUUUUUCUAGUUGGAAAAAAAGAAAGUCAUGAAAUCCUUCAUCUUUAUUGACAGAAAUAAGAUCAGAAAAGCAAGAUUCGACUAUCUUAAGGCCGAAACCUUGGGAUUAAUCUUACCUACCAUUCAACUAUAUAUCAUGGAAAACGUUGUUCAUGCGUCCUGGUGGGUAGUCGAAGAUGAAAAUGCAUUCAGCUGCUCGCCCAAUUCUAGACCCACCAAAGUGCUUUUUGUUUCUCUCUGCUGCACUUUUCUUUCUAGAGAACUAGUGAGAGCUGGGAAUGAUUUUUGGGAAAAUUUGAGGGUCGAGGACCAAGAGACAGAGAGUGAGGGAAAGAAAUGGGUCAAUGAAAAAUGAAAGUGUUGGAGAUGGUAGAUUGGUUGAGGACCGAGAGGGAGAGUGAGACAGAAAGAUGGGCACUUGGGAUUUGGAAUUUGGGACAAUUUUGCCGCUAUUCUUAGGCGCCAAUUGGGGCAUUUUUGCUGUUUUUUUAGUGAAACAAUUUGCCGCUUCUUUUAAUGGGCCAAUUUGGGAUUGUAUUUCCUUCUAAUAAUUGUUGAGGCACAUCUUUAAAAUGCCUCUAUAAUUAUAUUCUUUAUAUUCUUUUAUUUUCAGUUUUUCUUAUAAGAUUUGUCCCUUAUACAUUGUCUUUUUUAUUUAAUUAAUAAGUGCUAAUAUGGCAAAAACUACCUAAUGCCUUAAUAAGUGUUUAUUUGAGGCAUAUACUAAAUAGUGCCCUAACAAGUAUAACAUAAUAGGGAAAUUUUCUUGUAGUGUAUACAAGUCAAAUUAGUAAUUUAGACCAUAUAUCGAGUCGAUCCUGCAAGGAAGAUUGGAUAAUUACCAGCACUACUAAAACUUCUCUAUUAUUUAGACGAUCAAUGAAUUAAAUAAAAGAAAACUAUGCUAAACUUAUGCAUGAAAAUUACAAAUGAAAGCUUCUUAGGUUAUGAUAUCCCUAACUAUCCAUGCAAGUGAAAUUACCGGUUAAUUGAAUGGUAUUAUCUUGGCUAGUUAUGAUGUAAUUUCCUAAUAUACGUGAUAUCCGCUUUCGCCAGUGUACCAACUAUACCUAUAAUUAAUUCAUACCUACUUUCGUGGUUAUGAAACUAACUACAGUUUCAUUUCUUCUAUGAAAUUACAUGAAAUAAGUCACUAAAGCCACAAAAGUGCACCUCUACUUUUGUGAGUAUAUUCCCUAUAUUUAUCACUUUCUUGAACUAGUAUUAAAUCUCAACUUUCAUUGCAAACUUAAAACUUUAAAAUUAUCAUAAUUAAUGAUUGGCUAAUCAUGAUUAGAGAAGCAAAAAGUGAUAAAUAACUUGCUCAAAAUAAUAUCAUCAAAUAGUCAAAUAAUAAACAUUAACAAUCAUAGAAAGUUCAACCAAACCAAAGGCAUAAACUUUAAAAACACAUAAUAAACAUAGAAUCCAAACUUGUAUAUUAACUAAACAAUAGAAAAAGAAAUGUAACCUUGUCACAUGAGUUUAUCGCCUCCGUUUUCAUCUCCUUCUUCAUCUUUGCCUAGCUAAUAAACAAAAAGGAUGGACUAACUAAUUAAACUAUCCUAUACUAUACUAACCUAACACUAAAAAAAUGUAAGAACUACAUUUUAGUGGUAUUUCUUGCACUCUCCAAACUCUCUUGAAUCUUGCAACUCCAUGGCUAUUUAUAGAUGAAUUUAGUCAAGAACUGAGGCUUCAAACAUCACUUUUACAGCUGCAAAAUAGUUGUCACACGUCCAUCAAUAGCUGUGAAUUAUUAGAGGAGAAAACAAGUUGUGCAAGUGGAGAGCAGCUAUUUCUGACCAAAAUCCAGCCAAUAAUCAGUCUAGAAACUAGCCGGAUUGUCGGCUGGAUUGCUUCCCUGCUUUACUUCUCAAUUUCUAUUCAGUCUUCAAUGUUAUUCCAAUUUUGCAUAAACUUCAACUAAACUUUUCUUGAUGAUAGAGGCUGAAUUAACUCGUGACCAAAACAUAAAAUAUAAAACUUGUAUCCCUUUGAGUUAACUUUCCAAUGCAUCAAGAAUCACCUCAUUUGGAUUUGUGUAGGCUGGAAAAUGAUGGAAAUGCCCUUGACUGCUCAAUGCCUUGUUUCAAUUUCAACCAUAGAAAUUGACUAUUGUAAUUUGGCUUUUUGACCAGGAAAACCUUAAAAAUGGAUUUCGAUGUCUUCACAAGAAUUGUAGAUCUAUCUCUUAUCUUCAAACCAGUUCAAGAAUCAUCUCAAUCCGAUUAUUGUAGCUCAAGUUAUAGCCAAAAUAUAAAAAUGUGUCAAAUCUGUCAACUUUCCUUUUUCAUCCAAAUAAAGUCUAUUUCUAAUUCCUAUAAAAAAAUUAUGGACAAAAUGCAAGUAAAAAGGACAUAAAUCUCAUUUAAACACUUAAGAGCAUUUCAAACUAAUUAUAGCCAAAAUAAUCCAUUUUCUUCCUAUAAUAUUGCCAAAGUGACUAAAAGUGGAAUAAAAUAUUAUCCAAAUAUAGUACAAAAUAGUCAUGAUACUCCAUCAUCCACAAGAUAAUUCUAUGUGCAAAACCAGCCAACUAGCAAAAUAAGUAAUACAUUGACAAUAAUGGAGAACCUUUUGGUCUCUCGUUUCUAACGAGAUGAAGUAACUGCCCCUGGGCGAUCCUUUGUAAAGCCACCCUGAAUUGAAGAAAGCUCAGGCAAAAAUGCCAAGCAACUUCCAUUGCAAAAGCAUUUAAUUUCCCACUGAAUCGAAGCCCAGCACUACACUGAUUGGGAGCUUCUUAUUUGUCACAUAAUUAUCAUCAUUUCUUGUACCGAAACAUAGUAGUCGAAGUUGAGUUGGACCACGGGGAUGUUAAUGUAAGCAUAAAUACCUCAUGUGAUUAGGGUGGUUGUACACCUUGAAUGCAUCCAAUGUACAAUCCAGCAUGGAUUUGUGUUGUAAUUAGCAUGUGCAAAUAAUGGAACUAAUAAUAUGGACCAUUAAGCUUUGUAUUCAAUCAGUAAAGAUGAAGGCACUGAUUAAGAAAAUUCAGGUGAAAAUGCAAAGAAACCUCAGUGGCAAAAGCAUCCAACUUUACCAACGAAGCACUGCACUUCUGCACAGAGAUUGAGGGCUUUUAUAAUCCGUCACACGAUUCUGGUUAUUACUUGUUAAUAUUAGAAUUUUGGGGUAGUAAACAUGCAUUGACAUGAACUUCAAACAAAUGUACAAUUUAAGCACGAGUUUGUGUUGUCAUGAACAUGUAAAUAAGAUUCACAUUAUGAGUAAUCUUUCCCACAAUUUGUCUCAAGCAAUUAUGCCUAAUAGUUUGUUGUCAUUUGACAAAAAAAAAAAAAAAAAAGAUAUGUAACAAGAAGUAUGUAAUUUUUCAAGCCCCUUUUCUGAUAAGAUUGAAGCACAUUCAUCAUUCGAGUUAUUCUUCACCAAACUUCACUCAUCAUGUUUUUUAUUAUUAAAAGAGUGACAAUAUGCCAUUACCAAUCCCCAGAGCAUGAAAGAGAGCUCAACAUCUUUGGUUAUGUAAGUCUAAAAGGCUGACUUCUGAGGAAUUUUACAAUUUAAUCAAAGUACUUCAAUUUCAAGAUUCAUUGAUUCUUAUUUUCUUUUCCAAAAAAAAAAAAUAGAAGUUCAAGAAAUUUGACAUCACAGGUCAUACUCUUGGGACACAGACAUAUAUAACCAUCCUAUGGAUGUGCUUCACCUGUUUUUUAUAAAUAAAAAUGACUGCACUAUUGAAUACUUCGUAUGGCUUUUUCUUUCUUCUCCCAAGGAAAAUUUCCUUUCUUGUAAUAACACUAGACUACUAAAGUAUUUUAUAAGCUAAAAGCUAAUUAUUAUUAGACUAAGUGUCACGAAAAGAGUAUUAAUAUUUCUAAACUAGUUUCAAGAAGUAUGAGACACGAAGGUGAUCAUCCAAAAGAUAUUUCUGCACAUAGAAGAUCCAAAAUAACUGUUAAUUAUAAAGCACUAAUUGGGCAAUGUAGAACUCUGGAAAAGCAUUUUACUCUUUUUUCCAAUUUGAUUGUGAUCAUCGUUUAUUGUCCCUCCUGGAUGGAACUUUAAGUUACACCACUUUUCCAACAGUCAUUCAGAUAUAUUCAGAUUAAAGGGUUCGGGCAUUCAAUCAGUAAAGAUGAAGGCCCCAUCAACAACACGGAUUAAGAAAAUUCAGGUGAAAAUGCAAAGAAACCUCAGUGGCAAAAGCAUCCAACUUUGCCAACCAGGCGCUGCACUUCUGCACACGGAUUGAGGGCUUUUGUAAAUCCAUCACACCAUUUUUGUUAUUUCUUGUCAAUAAAACGUAUGUAUGCAUAUGAACUGUCUCAGUCAUUAUGGUGAGUCUACACCUUCAAUGCAACAACUGCACAAUAUUUUAAUUAAGCACAGGUUUGUGUUGUAAUGAAUAUGUAAAUAAGGGUCACAUUAUGGUUAAUAUUUUCCGUAAUUUGUCUCAAGCAAUUAUGCCUAAUAAUUUGUUGUCAUUUGAUUAAAAAAAACAAUGAGAUGCGACAAAUUCAAUGUUCCAAGUUUUUUUUUUUCUGUUCAAACUUCAUUCGUAGAACAUUUUAACAAAAAACAAGAAAUCUGUAAUUGAAGCACAGUCAUCAUUCAAGUUAUUCUUUACCAAGUUAUUUUUUUUAGGGUAAAUUCCACUUUACCCCCUUGCGGUUUAGCUUUUUUUCACAUAACCCUCUAGUGGUUUCAAAAGCCAUACAUAACCCCCUUAUGAUUUGGAUUAAAGUGUCAAAGUGACGGAAAUUAUCAUUCGUAAUGGCGUCACCUAAAAUGUCAAAAUUACCCUUAUGUAAAGUUAAAAAUUAUUUAUUAACCAAGGGGGUUAUGUGUAUAUUUUGAAAAUCAUAAGGGGGUUAUAUGGUAAAGUACUAAACCAUAAGAGGGUUAUAUGGUAAAAUAUAAUAAGCAUACGGGGUUAAUGUGUCAUGUAUUUAUAAGGGUAAUUUCGACAUUUUUAGAAGUUCCGUUACGAGUGACUAUUUCCGUCACUUUGACACUUUAAUCCAAACUAUGAGGGGGUUAUGUAUAGCUUUUGAAACCAUAGGGGGUUAUGUAAAAAAGGGUAAACCACAGGGGGAUAAAAUGUAAUUUGCCCUUUUUUUAUUAUUGUUGUAAAAAAAUCGGGCUUUUUAUUAUUAAAAGAGCGACAAUAUUUUAUUACCAAUCCCCCACGCAUGAAAGUGAGCUCAACAUCCUUGGUUGUUUAAAGUCUAAAUGGCUCGCUUCUGAAGAAUUUUACAAUUUAAUCAAAGUACUUCAAUCUCAAGAUUUCAUUGAUUCUUAUUUUUUUUUUCAAAAAUAAAAGUUCAAGUAAUUCGACAUCACAGGUCCGAUUCUUGGGGCACAAAGGCAUAUAUAACCAUCCUAUGGAAGUGUUUUUCAUGUUUCAUAAAAAAAAUGUGACACCAAUUCCCCAUGAGAAUGGACACAAAAUCCUUGGUUUUGUGAAGUUUAAAUGGAUCAAUUCUGAACAAUUUUACAAAAGAAACAAAUUACUGAUGAUUAUCUUACAAUUCCUUGAUGAUUGUUCUCUUCAGAAAUAUACGUUCAAGUAAUUUGAGACACAAACCUAUAAACCAUCCACUUUAUGUCUCUAUUCUUAACCAGCCAAGAAGCAAGGUAGCUGGUCCAAAAAGAAGAUUCCCUGUUUGUUUGUAAGAAAAGUUUCUCUACCUAAUAGGAUUAUUGCUAUAGUUUAGUUUCUUUGUAACUAAUUAUUACAACAGUUUAGUUUAAUUUUCCAAUGCUUGAGGCUCCCACUGUAGAAUAAAGCACUAGCACUCGAAGUCCUAUCUUAGAAGCAAUUCAAAUUCUUUUCUUCUCCAAACAUUUCUGCUUUUAGCUGCUGAAGCUGAACAAUUCCUUCUUACUCAUUCCAAAAAUCAUCCUGAUCACCACCUUAAUUGAUACUAGAAUACUUUUCUUCUAAUUUCAAUCCCAAGCAAGAAAAAAAUGGCCGAUACAGCUAUUAGCGCUACUAUUCAGGUUGCAUUGGAGACGGUUAUUUCCCUUUCCGCUGAUCGUGUUAGUUUGGUUCUUGGAUUCAGAGAGGAGUUGAAGAGAAUAUGCAACACUGCUGAAACCAUCCGAGGUAUCCUGGCUCAUGCCGAUGGGAAAAUGCAUAUCCCAGGGAUGAAAAAUUGGCUCAAGCAGCUUGAAGGAGAGCUUUUUGAAGUGGAGAAUGUGCUGGACGAACUCAACUAUGAAACUCUACGUCGGGAGGUGAAGUAUAGAAAUAAACUCAAGAAGAAGGUAUGCUUCUUCUUCUCGUACUUUAAUACAAUUGGUUCUCGUUCAAGGUUGGCUUCAAAGAUCAGGGAGAUCAACAGGAACCUAGAAAGGAUCAAUCAGGAAGCAAAUAACUUUGGAGUGGUCUCCCAGUUCCAUAUUGAAGCCUCACUCCCUGCUGCUUCUGGAGCCACAGCAAGCCGACAAACCGACUCUAUUCGUGUUCCAAAUGUUGGAAGAGUCGACGAUGAAUCAAAGAUUGUGGACAUGUUAUCGAGCCCCUCUGAAAAGGUUCUUUCUGUUAUUCCAUAACAGGCCCGGGAGGUUUGGGAAAGACAACUCUGGCGAAAUCAGUCUACAAUAAUCCAAAAAUAGAUGGGCACUUUGGCCAAAAAAUUUGGGUUUGUGUGGCUAAAGAACACAUUAAGAUAAUGGAGCUGUUCAAGCUCAUUUUGGUACAAUUGACACGAGAAGAAGUUAAAGUGGAUAACAGAGAGGUUAUCGUUAAAGAAAUUGGAGAAAAGCUGAAGGGAAAAAAAUAUUUCCUUGUUCUUGAUGAUGUGUGGAAUCAUGAUCAAGGAUUGUGGAGUGAUUAUUUCAACACUUUGAUGGGACUCAACGAAACCAAAGGAAGCUGGUGUCUUCUCACUACUCGGUUGAAACCAGUGGCUGAUGUUGUAUGUACACAUUUGAAGAUGAAUAGCGGUCCUUAUUUCUUAGGAAAGCUAUCAGGUGAUGAGUGCUGGUCCAUCAUAAAAGGAAAGGUGAUGAGUGCAGGGGAAGAAGUACCAGAAGAAUUGGAAGCAUUGAAGAAGCAAAUUUUAGGGAGAUGCGAUGGCCUACCCUUGGCGGCAAGUUUGAUUGGUGGCUUGUUGCUUAACAACAGAAGAGAGAAGUGGCACUCCAUUGUGCAGGAGAGUCUUUUGGAUGAAUGUCAAAGUGAGAUUGAUCAAAUACUUAAGGUGAGUUUUGAUCAUUUGUCACCUGCAUCAGUUAAAAAAUGUUUUGCAUAUUGUUCAAUUUUCCCCAAGGAUACAGAAUUGAAACAAGAUCUAUUAAUUGAGCUUUGGAUGGCGGAAGGUUUUGUUCAACCAGAUCGCCAAAACCAAAGAUUGAUGGAGGAAAUAGGGGGCGAUUAUUUGAGGAUUUUGUUACAAAAUUCCUUACUGGAAAAAGUAGAAGAGUAUUGGAGAACAUAUUAUAAAAUGCAUGAUCUCGUGCAUGAUUUUGCAAAAUCAAUUCUCAAUCCUAAAGGCAGCAGCCAGGAUGGCUACCUUGCAUUGGACUCUUCUAAAGGUUUGGCAGAAAAUACCACAAGGACAAUACCAGCAUCAAUUCACACAUUAUUUCUCCAUCUAGAGGGUGGCGUAUCUACUGACAUGCUUUUAAGAUUCAAGUGCUUGCAUGUUCUCAGAUUGUAUGGCGAUGAUGUCAAGUUUCUGCCGAGCUCCAUUGGCAAACUACUACAUUUGCGGUUGCUCGACAUUUCAUAUUCUGGAAUCAGAAGUUUGCCGGAAUCUCUUUGCAAGCUAUAUAAUCUGCAGACACUAACAAUGAGAGAUUAUGCACUUGAAGGAGGUUUUCCAAAACGGAUGAGCGAUUUGAUCAGCUUGCGACAUCUAAACUACUACCAUGAUGAUGCAAAAUUGAAAAUGCCGGCGCAAAUGGGACGAUUGACUUGUCUUCAAACUCUACGGUUCUUUAAUGUAAGUCAGGAGAAGGGUCGUGGUAUCGAAGAGCUUGGGACCUUGAAAUAUCUGAAAGGAUCGUUGGAGAUAAGAAAUCUUGGACUAGUGAAGGGCAAAGAAGCAGCUAAACAAGCAAAAUUGUUCGAAAAGCCAGAUCUGUCUCGCUUGGUGUUUAAAUGGGAGAGUGGGGAUCGGGAAAGCGAUAACCGUGAUGAGGAUGUGUUGGAAGGUCUCCAACCUCACCCAAAUUUGCAAAGGUUGGAAAUUCGAUAUUUUAUGGGUAAUAAAUUUCCGCAAUGGUUUAUGAAUUUGUCAAAAUUGGAGACAUUACGGAUACAAAAGUGCAAGAGAUGCAGUGAACUCCCCUCAUUAGGACAACUGCCAUCCCUCAAAAUUCUCUAUUUGGAGGGAUUGGACAACAUUCGAUUUAUUGGAGAUGAAUUCUACGGUAUUACUGCUAAUGAGGAGGAGGAGGAGGAGGAGGGCAGAUCACGAGCAUCAGGGAGCAUCAGUAGAAGGCGAAAAUUCUUUCCUGCCCUUGAAGUACUCUAUGUAGAAUAUAUGGAGAAUUUGGUAGAGUGGAAGGAUGCAGACCAAGUGAGGUCAACAGUAGCAGAUGUCUUUCCCAUGCUGAGGAAUUUGAGCAUUGAAGGUUGCCCCCAGCUGACCGCUCUUCCAUGCUCGUGCAAAAUUCUAGACGUGGGGAAUUGCGGUAAUCUAACAAGUAUAAAAAUGGGUUACGGCACUGCUUCUAUUGAGCAGUUGAGUAUCGGAUAUUGCGACAAUCUUAGGGAGCUGCCAGAUCUGGAUCUGUUUGGAUCGAGUUUGCAGCAUUUGACCAUCGUCGGGUGCCCAAGAUUAAUCAGUCUAGGAGUAAAUGGACAGAAAUGCCCCCUACCAUGCCUCGUGAAAUUGAGUAUUGUUGAGUGCGAUGGGUUGACCGCUAUAUCCGACAAAAUGUUCCAGUCAUGCCGGUCUCUGCGGUCCCUGUCGGUGGAGUGUUGCCCCAAUCUGGUAUCAUUUUCGCUUAAUUUGCAGGAGACGCCAUCUCUCGAGCGAUUCAUCUUAGACAACUGUCCCAAAUUGAUCCCUCAUAGUUUCAAAGGAUUUGCUUUUGCCACCAGCUUAAGAGAAUUGAGGAUCAACAGUCCCUUCUCCUCAGAUGAUUCCUCAGUCGAUGAUUUUGAUUGGUCUGGUUUAAGAUCUGCAUCAACACUCCGUGAGCUUCGCUUACGAGGGUUGCCUCACACGGAGUCCCUGCCACACCAGCUUCAAUACUUGACUACCCUCACUUCACUAACUCUUCACAACUUUGGAGGAAUAAGAGUGCUACCGGAUUGGAUUGGAAACCUUGUGUCCCUUGAAACCCUAGAGCUAUGGGAUUGCGACAAGCUUCAGUCUUUACCACCGAGGCCGCCAUGAGACGCCUCACCAAGUUAACUUGUGUCGACGUCCUUGAUUGUCCUCUAUUAAGACAACGAUACACUCCCAAAGAGGCAUCUACUUGGAGGAGGAGAUUUCAAGUGAUCCGGUGAGAUUUUCCUAUCUAAAGUUCACACUCAUAUAUAUGUGUAUAAAUUUUUUGUAUCUGCAUCUCAUUGACAUAUAUUUCCUCUUCAGUCUCUUGUACUCUUUUUCUCCAUCUCUUUUCUGCAAAGUUAUUCUCCAUAAUUAAUUCUCUUCUUUUGGGCAGACCUUGGUUUCUCUUCAAAGAUUAGUUAUAACAAAACCUGGUUUUGAGCAAAUUGGAAGAGGCCAAAAUUCUGGAUUUUCUCUGCAUCUCGCCAUUGAAAGAUUUUGAACAUCUUAAAAACUCAAUAUUAGCAACGAUGCAUACACAAUUAGCCUCUUUGUUUGAAUGUGUUAGCAAAUGUUCCAUUGCAUGUGCAAUGCUAGAUGUGCAUGGGAGCAUUCAUCAUUUUUCUAUCACCGAUAUUGCCAGUCUGAAUGGACAACAUUAAAGCUAAUCAAGAAACAUUUGCGAAGAAAAAUCAAGAUACAAUUUGAUGUUCAAGUUACAAUAAUUUUGGAUGGUUGUUUGUCAUGUUUCACAAGUUUCAGAAGUUUAUACGUCACAAUUACCAUGCAGGCAAGCAGUGAGAGCGAAGAAGAAGAAUCGACGACAAUGAACUAGCAGGCAGGGACGAUGAAUGAAAAAGCAUUCAUGGUGCUCAAACAUCAGCUUCAUGGUGUUUCCCAUCGUUGUUGAAGAAAAAGAAGAGGUCAGGAGGUAUGUUGUGCAGAAAAGUGAUAAUGCAGCAUUUCUCUCCCCAAGAACUCUUUUCUUACCUCCAUCCAAUUUAGUAAAAGUACAAGGAAUUGGUGCAAGUUUGCUUUUUAGUAUGCUUGGGUGAUGUAAUUGGCCUAAAAACAGGGCAUUUUCCUGUACUUUUAUCUGUUUGUGAACUUUUACCCUAUGCCUACAGCUUAUCUUUUGCUCUUUAAGAUUUUUAUAUUUACUUGGUGCUAAACAUGUCUUUUGAUUGUGACAGAAUCUGGUCUUUUCCGAUUUUCUUGACUAGUUACCAGACCAUAACUUUUCUUUGCUUUCAUUGUUUAUUAUAAUUGGAGGCAUACUGAAAUGUACCAUUGUGAUGCUUUCCAGAGUCUUAGGAGGCAUAGCUUAUGUUAUUGGACAAAGGACAGCAUCGUUUGUUGUUUCAUUUCUUACUAGACAGAAGUUAUUUUCAUUGACCAGACAGGGUUUGAAGAUGAAGGCAAUUAUCAAUGAUCUUUAUUAAGCUCAUUAGAUAUCAUUAGCUUUGAUGGAGGCUUCAUAAAUAGUUGGUUCUCCCCAAGUUUCUCAAACAUAAGGUUUUCAUCUUCUCCUACUCAGACUGCAGAAAGGAAGGUAACAAUUUAGCUUGUUCAUCUUCAGGGAAGUUUUGGUAGUUUUUUAAUCUGCAUUCUUGAUAUGUAUUUAGUAAAUCAAUUACCAAAACUUUUUUUUCCUUUCGUGUAGCAUGCUGAUUGCUGAACUGAAAAUGGCUAGUAGCAGGCCUGCAAAGUGUGAUAUGGAGGAAGAAUAAAUUGGGGGAGGGGGAGGGGGGAGCAUGGAAGCUGACACUGGAGAGCUAUCAACAUACAAUGCUUAUUUCAAUCAAACUGGAGUUGGUCUAUUGGUUCAGAAGGGAUUUCAGGCGAAGAGUUGGAUGCAUCAGAAUGAUGUGAUAAGUACAUCCUGAUAGUACGUUUUCUUCAGCUUUAUUUGGAAGUAAAAGUGCAUCUGGUGACCAAAUUUAUGACAUUUUCAUCUUUUUUUUUAAAAAAAAAAUUAAUCAUUUAAUGUAGAGAUCAUAGAACUCUUGUUACUUUUCCUCUUCCAGAAAUCAUUUUUCGUUAUUUCUUUCGCCUCUUUUAGCUGCUUCCCUUUCAACUACCGGGUCCAAGAUUUCGAUUAAUCCAUUGCAAUCACCACAGGAUUUCUCCUGGUUGGUUCCCUUAUUUUCACAUCUCAUGACUGUUUGAUUACUUUUGGGCUUCUGAUAGAUUCAUCUUCUCUUUUUUCCAGGAUUUUUACACUGGGUGGGCUUGUUUGGGUGUUCUUCAGGGUUCUGAUGCUAAUUUCUAUGCGGCCGUAAGUUUACUCUGACUUCUUCUGUUUGUUUUCCUGCCUUGGUUAAUUCACAGCACUUGGUUUGUAUAUAUGCGUGUGUUUUCUGAUAUGUGUUUUGUUGCUUUUGGUUUUGCUUAGGCUGCCAUCUUUUGUGUUUGCCAUUUGUUAACUACUGUGUUUUUCCUGCUUGUCUUUGUUCAGGUUGCCCAUCAGUCCUAAAUUUCUCAUUCGGUGAAAGUAAUGGCAGUAACGGCAGCAGAAGCUAAAGUUACGCGCCUUCCAAUCCUUAAACAUCCCGACUCCUUUCCCUUUCUUUUGGCGUGAAUAUUGCUUUAUAUUAGGUUAUCUCUAUGGUCUAAUCGUAUUCUUUAUGUAUACUAACUACCGAACUACAUUGGAAAGUUCUUUUUUUUUCCCAGUUCAUUGAAUGUUAAUUUCUUGUAAUGUAAUGUUUUACAGUUUGUGCUCACCAAAUUGAACGGAGCUCAUGGGUGAAUUACAUAUGCUUUUGAAAUUCAGUACACUUAAAAAAAUUUUGUGUCUUAAAUUUUACUUAGGACUGGUGUAUUUUGGGAAUAAGAAGAUAUAAAUCUCUUAAUUUUAAACUGAAUUUCUGUUUUUCUUCUGGGGAAAAUUUUAUUGUGAAACUUAGGUCUUAUGCUUGGGUAAAAUGGGUAACUAGAGAACAAGUGGUUCCAAGGCAAUCAAUUGAAGGAAGUGUGAAGCAAAAAACAGGAGAAAAGGCUGAUUAAACAACACCGAGUAACAAUGUUCUGUUAUGAUGGCUCAGAUACUAAGGGUCUUGAAAGCUACACAACCACCAUAGCUUACCAAGAUCGACAGUGAUUUCAUAACUCUGCCCUCCUUACUUUCCAUUUUUUAUUUUCUGUAUAUUUUUUUAUAUGAAUUUUUAACUGUGUACAUUUUUUUUAUGAAAGACAAUGUUUUGUCAUUCGAUUAUUUUGAACCAAAUUGUGAAAUCGGUUAAUGUAUCAGCUUCUGAUUUUUAUAAGUUCUGUGAUGGGAUAUUUCAGGUUAUGAAAGCAGUUGAAGCUAUCGAAGGCUACUAUUAAGGCACAGGUUCUGAUUUUCUCUCCUGACCAUGCUUCAAUUUCCAAUGAGGUUGUUACUUGGCAUAUGAAUUUUACCAUUCAGUCAUCCGGGAAAAGGAUUAUUCACAUGUGGUUCUUAUUUGCUUGCAAGCCGUAAUUUGGGUCUUGUUGCCCAUAAAAUGCUUUCUAGAGUUGCAAAUCAGUGAGUUCAUGGUUUCAUUAGACUUAAUGGAUAAUGCAGAUAAGUUUCUCUUGAUUAUGUGUGUACGGUUCUGAGAUAAUUUUGUAUUAUUGUUUGAACUUGCUCUCAAGUCUCUUGUUAGACUUAAUGGACCUAGCAUAGUAUCCUCUGCAUUCUAAUCUCAUUUUUCCACUUAGAAACUCUGUUUGGUUUUGAUUUGGGAAGCAGCAAAGUUCAUUUUAGAUUUGUCAUUAAGCUCUGUUGUUAUUUCUUUUGUGACCAUGUGACAGCACACUGAUACGUAUUUGUAUAUAUUGUUCUUAUCAGCAAAUUACAAUUUUUUGUCUUUUUUCUUUGCUUUUACCUGGUAUGUGGAUAGAUUGAUGUCCGGAGGUUGUAAAGAAUAGUAAUGAAAGAUUGCAUGAGUCAUGUCUUUUCUUUUUCUAGAUAUUGAAAAAGCAUAUCUGCAUUUGACACAAUUUGUCCCAGGAUUUUGACGCUGACAAGUACUUAUAUGAUACCUUUUGCAGACCCCGUCCAAGGUUCCAGAGGGAGUGUGUUGAGCGCAAUAACAAGCUGUUGUACUACAUCCUUGAUUGCCUUAGCAUGGGUUCAUCAUCAAGGUUGAAAAUUUGGAGAUCAGCAGCAAGGCCUUGAAAAUUUGGGCCCUCUCCCUUAAAAUAGGCUGGACUAGAAGUAGGUGUCGGAUAGACAAGUGCCGUUAACCAAAAAAAAUAAAAAUAAAAAUGGCUGAUUGUUGGAUGCAGGUACAAUUGCUUAGAGUUGCCAAAAUGAUUGACCCUUGUGUAGGAGGAGAUUUUACAAUACUAGAGGCAUUCAAUAUGCUUAAAAUGGGGGUUUUAUGCAGCCAAGCUAAUGCAAUUUUGAGGCCUGAUGAGGUUGUUUAGGUGCUCCGAGUUGUACCUAUGCAAUUGUUGAACCAAAUGAAUAGCCAGGGCAAGAUGUUGGUUUGCCUGCUGACAAUUCGACUGUGUUGUAAAGCUACUGGAGUGAAAUAGUUGACAAUAAAAUAGAGAAAUUGUUAGAAUUAGUUUAUAAGAAAAGGAAUGGGCAGAUUGUUUCAUAAAGAGGCUAAAGAUUGAAACGUACUUAGUGCAGAUGAAAAAACAUAGCUGUCAAUUAUUUUCUUACAUAAUUUUUAGAGAAAAAUGCAGUUUUAGUUCCGAUGUUUAGUUAGUAUGCCAAACUAGUCUAUAAUAUUUUGAUAAAAACAAAUGUAGCCUCGAAAAUUUCUAAUUUUGAGCAAAUUUAGGAUAAUUUAUCGAAAUUCAACCAUUCAUAGCGGUAAAAAUCAAGUUUCUAUUAGUCAAAUAUUUUGGCUUUUCAUUAUAGUUCCCAAAGUUUGAAAUUUCAGUCAUUAUAGCCCUUAAGUUUCAAAUGGUAUCUUCGGGGAUUUUAGGACGAAAUUGGACAUAAAAAGGGUUGAAAUUGUACUAUACAUACUAAAUGUGUUGAUAUAAACUUUUCUUCUUCUUUUUUAUUUCUUUAUUUUAUUUAUACAUACUACUAAUUUAUAACAUAUAUCUGCUCUUUUGCAUACUUGGUCAAAUUUGGCACAAUUCAUCUAAUCAUAUCAAACUUUCAUUCAUUUUGAUAACUAAGCAAUCAAUUAAACAUCCUUUAAAAUGCUAAGUUGAUUGAACGGUAAAUUUUUUUUUCUGUUUUUUGGCAUUUAUUUGGUUAUCAAUUGAGUUUCGAAUGAAAUAGAUAUUUUAUAUAAUUGCAUAAAUUCAUAAUGAAAUUAUCUAUGUAUACAAACAUAGAUAUAAACACUUUAAAAUUUUAAUAUGGAAAUAUUUGAUUUGAUAUGAAGGAAGUAUAAGAAUAAACAACAGGGUGGUUUGUCAAAAUUCCAUACAAGUUCUUCAUAUUAGUAAUUACCUUUACUUGUUACUAUAAUAAUGAUUCAAAAUUAUAACCGUUUGAAACUUACAUCCAAACCAAUACAUCUAUAGGAUGCAUUACAUCCCUCUUGUAGGUGGUUACUUUUUCUCUCUACGUAGGGAGCAAACUUCACCUUUUGUGGGUGUGUGAACUUGCUUUUUCAAAUUUAAAUUUCCCGUACUUUCUUAGUCCAAUUUACAAAAAACAAAUACAUUUCAAUACAAAUUGAUGCUAGUCUUCCGUCUUGAUCCAUAUCGAUGGUUGCUCCAAUGGUGAAUUCGGUGGAAUAAUUUGAUUUUCAUGAUAUUGUCGUCCUUUUUCUACUUGAGUCAUCGGUUGUGGCUUCUGCGAGUUUCCAAGCUGGAUUCGAGCUCUGCUGAGCUUGCUCUCUGGCUUCCAACUUCCAGCUCGAUCGUAAUUUCUACUUUCAGACUCUUUCUCCAUCAAUCUAAGUUUUGCUUUCAGGUGACAGUUUCCUUUGCAGUAGUAGUAGCUUCGUGUUGUCUUUCCAGUUUUCCUAAUCCUUCUGUUGUGCUGUUUGAUCGGCUGUUUUUGUUAUUUUUGUUUCUUCGUCUGGUCUUUGUUGCUUCUUUUGCUUUUCGUAGCCUAUGUUUCUGUUUGGUCAAGAUGCGGGUAGUGUUUGCUUGGUCUGUGAUCAGUUGGGAAUUUACUGGUAUUGGUUCAAGAUGACUGAGGAUCUGGAGGAAAUUUUGAGGAAAUUUGCUCUGACAGAGGAGGAGGCGGAGGGUGUAGUCUUAGAUAGUAAGGAUCUGGCUCAAGGAGUAGUUGAAUGUCAAUUGAGUAUUAUUGGUAGGGUGGUGGGGGAGAAGACUGCAAACAUUGCUGGUAUAAGGAGCUUUACAAAUAAUAUGUGGCCGUUUGCCAGAAAUCUAAGAGUUGUUGAGAUAGGGGUUAAUAUGUUCCAGUUUAGCUUCAGUAAUAAACAAGAAAUGGAUAGGAUGCUGAGGGGUACGCCUUGGGUUUAUGAUAAUCUGCCUUUGGUUGUGUUACCGUGGGAGGAGGGGAUAGAACUGAACCUUGAAGCUUUUAAUAGGACUUGGAUUUGGGUCCAGCUGUGGAAUUUACCUAUUCACUGGAUUACCAAGGACAUUGGUAGGAAAAUUAGGGGAGUUUUCAGCUCUGUUAAGGAGGUGAUUAUUCCUCAUGGUGGUGGAAAGGAGGGGAAACAUUUAAAAAUUCUGGUUGAGAUGGAUUUAACUAAGCCAAUGCUGAGAGAAACCACUGUUAAGUUGAGGGUAGUACUAGAUAGAUAGAAUUCAAAUAUGAGAAAUGCCUUGACUUCUGCUACUGCUGUGGGGUCAUGGGGCAUAAUGAGCGGAGUUACAGGGAAAAAGGAGUGAAUAUGGAUAAGGCGAAUCAGUAUGGAGCCUGGCUUAGAGCAAGUAAUGCGAGGAGUCCUAUUAGGAAACAGAAUACUUUUAGUAGGGAGGAGAGUAAGGUUGGUGAAGGGCCACAGUUGGCUAAGGAGGGAGGACAGGAGGCAGGAACAACUAUGUCUGCCCUGGAAGCUAGUGGAGGUACAUGUUGAUAC
rnacentral:lncRNA from 1 species